GUGCAUAUAGUUUAAAAAAACACUAGAUUGUGAUUCUAGAAAUGAAAGUUAAACUCUUUCUAUACACU
rnacentral:tRNA from 2 species